rnacentral:rRNA from 1 species
UUAAGCAAUCUAUACGGUGAAACUGCGAAUGGCUCAUUAAAUCAGUUAUCGUUUAUUUGAUAGUACCUUACUACUUGGAUAACCGUGGUAAUUCUAGAGCUAAUACAUGCUAAAAACCUCGACUUCGGAAGGGGUGUAUUUAUUAGAUAAAAAACCAAUGCCCUCCGGGGCUCCUUUGGUGAUUCAUGAUAACUCGACGAAUCGCAUGGCCUUGCGCCGGCGAUGGUUCAUUCAAAUUUCUGCCCUAUCAACUUUCGAUGGUAGGAUAGUGGCCUACCAUGGUUUCAACGGGUAACGGGGAAUUAGGGUUCUAUUCCGGAGAGGGAGCCUGAGAAACGGCUACCACAUCCAAGGAAGGCAGCAGGCGCGCAAAUUACCCAAUCCCGACACGGGGAGGUAGUGACAAUAAAUACUGAUGCGGAGCUCUUUAGGGUUUCGCAAUUGGAAUGAGUACAAUUUAAAUCCCUUAACGAGGAACAAUUGGAGGGCAAGUCUGGUGCCAGCAGCCGCGGUAAUUCCAGCUCCAAUAGCGUAUAUUAAAGUUGUUGCAGUUAAAAAGCUCGUAGUUGAACCUUGGGCCUGGCUGGCCGGUCCGCCUCACCGCGUGCACUGGUCCGGCCGGGCCUUUCCUUCCGGGGAGCCGCAUGCCCUUCACUGGGUGUGCCGGGGAACCGGGACUUUUACUUUGAAAAAAUUAGAGUGUUCAAAGCAGGCAUAUGCUCGGAUACAUUAGCAUGGAAUAAUGGAAUAGGACGUGUGGUUCUAUUUUGUUGGUUUCUAGGACUGCCGUAAUG